AUUGAACGCUGGCGGAAUGCUUUACACAUGCAAAUCGAACGGCAGCACGGGAGCUUGCUCCUGGUGGCGAGUGGCGAACGGGUGAGUAAUAUAUCGGAACGUAUCCAAUAAUGGGGGAUAACUAGUCGAAAGAUUAGCUAAUACCGCAUACGCCCUGAGGGGGAAAGCUGGGGAUCUUCGGACCUAGCGUUAAUGGAGCGGCCGAUAUCUGAUUAGCUAGUAGGUGAGGUAAAAGCUCACCUAGGCGACGAUCAGUAGCUGGUCUGAGAGGACGACCAGCCACACUGGAACUGAGACACGGUCCAGACUCCUACGGGAGGCAGCAGUGGGGAAUUUUGGACAAUGUGCGCAAGCCUGAUCCAGCCAUUCCGCGUGAGUGAAGAAGGCCUUCGGGUUGUAAAGCUCUUUCGCAAGGGAAGAAAACUUAACCUCUAACAUAGGUUGAGGCUGACGGUACCUUGAUAAGAAGCACCGGCUAACUACGUGCCAGCAGCCGCAGUAACAC
rnacentral:rRNA from 1 species